GUGGUGCUGCCAAAGGUAGCAAGUUUGUUUUCCUUGCUUCUUUCAGAUCCAGUGUGGCUAGUCAAUCAGCAUGCAUUGGAGACAUUCACUCGGUUUGCUGAGGAAACCAGCUAUGAAGAAAUUGUUCCACAAAGCAUGAAUUCAGAAGACAUCAAGAAUCGUGUAAUAUCUUUUUUAAACAAGGUUGUUACCUCUGUGGAACCAGAUAAUGGCAGAAAGGAACGACUAGAGGAAGAAAG